CACUUUGUCCACCGAUUUUUUUUUAAUAUAUAUAUAACAGCGGAAUGCAUUACAAUUUUUAUGAGCUCCGCAUACUCCUUGUUUCCCCAGCGGCUGGGGUCCGAUGCCCGCCGAGCCCAGGGCCAUGGGACGUUUAACCCGCGGCUGGAGAGAAUGACAGGAGCUGGGCUGGCCGGUGGGGGAGCCGCACCCCGCCCCGACCCUUGACCUGUUAGCGAGGCCCGCGGGUUCCGCACUGGCCAGGCCCUGCUGAUCCUCCUCAUCACCCAGGCCCGGUGCUGGACCACUGGGAGCGCCACCGCCGCCUGGAGUGAGGUCCCGGCUCUUGUUCUCAUUUCCUUCCCCGCGAGUCCCGCUACCUGGUCCCACCCCUGCCGACUGGACCCUCAGAUCCGCUCCUCCCCUCGGGUAGGCCACGCCCCAAGCCCGAGCCACGUGAGUCCUCUGGCCCCGCCCCACGAAAUCCGGGCCUCUCAAGCGCGGCGGUUGCCGUUUUGGGGAUGAAGCUACCGAUUUGGUCCUAGAGACGCCGCCCGGGGGUCCGCGGUUUCUUCCUCCCACAGCGGAGGGGAUGUGAACACCUGCUUCGUGGAGCUCCUGAUUAUGGUGUACACAUGGAAGACCUCUCGUGCCAAGAGCAUCAUCGGCGUGAUUCCCUGCUUUCCUUACAGCAAAUGGUGCAAACUGAGGAAGAGGCUCAAUCAUCUCUAAAUUAUUUGAUUCCAUGAUAUGCAAAGCUGAUGGACACAACACAAUGCCUUUAUUUUUAUGUGGUGCUGAGAAUCGAACCCAUGACCCACCUGUGCUAGGUAAGUGCUCUACUGCUGAGCCACAAUCCCAGCCCAGUAAUUCAUCUUUUUUAAUCAUCUCUUAAAAUUGCUUUUUAUUUUGAACCUCAAGUAUGCAGAAUUGGACUAGUCAUUGAUGAUAACAAAAAGUUUGUCUUAUCAUUGGUUCAUGUGUGGUCUUGGCCCUUUCUAAUAUCUGCAUCUCUCUAUUCUGUCUCUGUUCAUCCCUCUAUGGUUGUUGACACCCAUCAUCCUAAAUCUGUCACCUGACAAGAAAAUAAGAAUCAGCUAAGUGCAGUGGCACCCAUCUGUAAUCCCAGGACUUGGGAGUCUGAGGCAGGUGGAUUGCAAAUUCAACUCAUCUAGACCCUGUCUCAAAAUUUUUAAAAAGGGAUGGGGGUAUAGCUUGGUGGUAAAGCAUCCCUGGGUUAAAUCCUCAGUACACACACAAAAAAAGAGUAAGAGAACCAUCCCAUCCACUGCCUUCUCCCACCCAGGAACCACUGUCCUGAAUCUGCUGACAUUUUUCCUUUAAUUUCCUUUUUAGAUAGUUUCAGAGCACAUAUUUAAUGGUAAAUUAUAUAUAUAUAUAUAUAUGUGUGUGUGUGUGUGUGUAUGUGUAUGAAUGUCACAUUCCUUACUACUAAAACACUCAGGGUCACUCCAGGUGAACUAGGUUGCACAAAAUAACUAUACAAGAGACAGAGAUACCUUUAUCUUUGGGGUCCUGUGACGGCUCCUCUGACCUUAAGGAUCCACAGAAAGAGAAUGAGCAAGUGCUGAACCCUUUUAUUGAAGAGAACCAUUCAAAUGAGGCAAAGGGUCAGGUUUCAUGGGGUGGAAUCUAGCUUUGUGAUGUCUGCUGUCAGCAGGUUGACUGACAUCUAGGAAGUCCACACCCAAAGACAGAGCAAGAGAAGGGGACACACAAAGGGCUUUUCCAUAGAA